UUAUCCAGGCAAAUCCGGAUAAUCAAGGCUGAGGUGUGAUGACGAGGCACUACGGUGCUGAAGUAACAAAUGCCCUGCUUCCAGGAAAAGCCUCUAAGCAUCAGGUAACAUCAAAUCGUACCCCAAACCGACACAGGUGGUCAGGUAGAGAAUACCAAGGCGCUUGAGAGAACUCGGGUGAAGGAACUAGGCAAAAUGGUGCCGUAACUUCGGGAGAAGGCACGCUGGUGUGUAGGUGAAG
rnacentral:rRNA from 2 species